rnacentral:lncRNA from 1 species
UUCAUCUUUCAUAGUGCAAUCAGGAAACAAGUUCCUCAAGGUGGUUUCAACAGAGAGAAAUGAAUGCAGGGAAUUGGUUGCCCAGGAGGAGCUGAGAAGGCACACAGUGGAUGGUGAGGCAGAUUGGAGAUGGAUAAGGCAGGAAGCCUGAACCAGCUGUGGCCUCAGAGGUGGGAUUAGCCAGAGACCAGAAGCUGGGGCACCAGGUGGAAACAGGAACCAAACCAGGGUUGCUGAGUGGGAGCUGGAACCGUGGAGGAGGGCACUGUCUGAUGGGAGAUGGAGCAUACUGUCCGAGAUGCUGCUAGAGGUAAGAGGAAGAAAUACCCUCGCAGGUCCCCAUUUCCAGCACCUUUUGCUUGCACAAAUUGCUGGAAAGCCAUUUGUCAAGGAAACCAAGAAGGGAAAAGGAGACAAAGGGCGCAGAUGGAGCUGAGAGCUGACUAGCAGGUGACUGGCAUGACCCUGAUGAAUGAGGUAUUGUGUUGGGUGCCUUUAAGGGACUUCUGUUAGUGUGGCCAUGAUGUCAUUGGAGAUCAGAAAUGUGCAUUUAGCUGUUUAAGGUCACAUGAGGGCAGCGCCACAUGUGAAUGUGGGUUCUCUGGCUUAGGUUCUCUAAUACCAUGGUGAGUACCAUUUGCCCUUCUGGGGAAGAAGCAAACAACUGCUGACACUCUUUGUGGGCAAGGGCUCGCCAGGCUGUGCCUCGUGGUCACAAAGGAUGCUGGCUGGGAAGGAGCAGGAUGGGAUGCUUGGGCAGAAGAGGGGUGCAGCUGAGGAGUUGUGCAGGUGAAGAAAUGGAUGCUCAGAAAAGUGAAGUGACUUGCCCAUGUUCUGCAAGGUCCUGUGCUAGGGGCUGGGAGGACAGAGAGAAAGAGUCAGAUCCUCCCACAAAAAUCCACGAGAUGUUGGGGAGCCGAACUUGUAAACAGCCAUCACCAACGCAAAGAAGGAUGCACUGAUGCUAUCUAGAGACGCACAGGAAAUGGUUCAUGGGCAUAGAGGUAGGAGAUAUGGCUUCUGCUUGCAUAUUCCCAACGAAGUGUCACAGGAGAGAGAGUAGUUGAGCCAGACUUUGAUUGAGAGUCAGGGAUAAAAAAUUGUUGAUGACAUGUAUUUGGUGCUUUACAUUUCAUAAUUUCACUUCAAUGGAAUUUUGGUAGGCAGAGCAUAGUCGAGGUGUUUUAAUGUAGAAAACUGUAGGAGUAGGUAUACAUGGGCAUAAAGAUGUAAAAGUUCAUGAUAUAUCCAGCAACUAGGCGUUCUCACUGAUACUGGGUAUUGUUGCUUCUACUUCUCAGUGGACACGGAAUCUAUCCAGGAAUGUUCCUGAUUUAUAUCAGAUAGAUUUACAUCAGGAACAUACCUAGAUAGAUUUAUAUCAGGAACAUACCUACGUAGAUUCCCAUACCUAUUUAUAUAGAUUCGAAUCUAUGAUUUUACACUUAUGUCUUCAAUUCUGAACAGCACCUCAGGGUUUAGUUUAGUUUUCUCACUUUCCAUAUACAUAUAUGUAUUUUUUGAGAUGGAGUCUCGCUCUGUUGUCCAGGCAACAAACGUGCAAUGGCGCAUCUCGGCUCACUGCAACUUCCACUUCCCCAGUUCAAGCAAUUCUCCUGCCUCAGCCUCCUGAGUAGCUGGGAUUAUAGGCGCCCGCCACCACGCCUGGUUAAUUUUUGUAUUUUGAGUAGAGACGGGGUUUCACCAUGUUGGACAGGCUGGUCUUGAAUUCCUGAUCUCAGGUGAUUCACCUGCCUUGGCCUCCCAAAGUCCUGGGAUUACAGGUGUGAGCCACCGUGCCUGGCCUCACUUUCCAUAUUUGUAACUCACUUCUCCACAGUGUUCCUGGAGAAUAAAGUGCACUGAGAUAGAGAAGACAGAUGUGAAGGAUGGUUUAGGAUCUGUCAGGGAGGUCCCUGAGUGCCAUGAUAAGAUAAAAGACUCUGUCUCUCAGGUUUGGCUGAGUUAUUCAAGGUUUCUGAGAAGAGAGUGAUAAGAUUCAAUCAGAAGAGUAAAGUUAACAGACAUUUAAAUAGAAUCA